AGUGAACGCUGGCGGUAGGCCUAACACAUGCAAGUCGAACGGCAGCACAGUAAGAGCUUGCUCUUACGGGUGGCGAGUGGCGGACGGGUGAGGAAUACAUCGGAAUCUACUUUUUCGUGGGGGAUAACGUAGGGAAACUUACGCUAAUACCGCAUACGACCUACGGGUGAAAGCAGGGGAUCUUCGGACCUUGCGCGAUUGAAUGAGCCGAUGUCGGAUUAGCUAGUUGGCGGGGUAAAGGCCCACCAAGGCGACGAUCCGUAGCUGGUCUGAGAGGAUGAUCAGCCACACUGGAACUGAGACGCGGUCCAGACUCCUACGGGAGGCAGCAGUGGGGAAUAUUGGACAAUGGGCGCAAGCCUGAUCCAGCCAUACCGCGUGGGUGAAGGAGGCCUUCGGGUUGUAAAGCCCUUUUGUUGGGAAAGAAAAGCAGCAGGUUAAUACCCCGCUGUUCUGACGGUACCCAAAGAAUAAGCACCGGCGAACUUCGU
rnacentral:rRNA from 1 species